UGAGUAUAGGAAGUUCCUGCUGCAAUGUCAGAAGUCCAGGCUCCUUUUCUUGGAAGAAAGACCAUGUGAAGAAGCGUGUUGUCAGAUGUGAUGAAGAAGCCAUUGCGGAUACUCAGCCCUGUUGAGACUUCACAUGGCUCCAGCCUCAGCAGCUAUAUGACCACAACAGCACGAGAGACCCCAAAUGAGGACUGCCCAGAUGAGUUCAUUUACCCUGCAAAACUAAGAGGGAUAAUACUAAUGAAGCGUUGCCUCAAGCCACUAAGUUUUACCCUGAUGGGAACCAUCAAGCAGAACCUUCUGGACCUGUACUUCCGAGUUCACUAGGGCUGGGAGAACUCAGCCCAGGGAUCAGCAACGCAUGUACGAGUCUCUCCAGAAGAGACAUAACACUGACUGUAUGCUCUACAACUAACUAAUCUUCAGUUUGCAGAAGAGGAAACUAAAGGACAGGAAGUUGGCUGAUUCCUACAAUGAGCAGAAGUUACAGCAAAGGUCAAUGCCAGGACUGAGUUCCCUGUUUUUC
rnacentral:lncRNA from 1 species